CAAGGGAAAAGUUGGUAAAUUUUUGUGUAGCCAUUUUAAUAUUGGAGAUGGAAGAAAAUCUGCAACGGAAAUUCACAAGAAGUUUUGUGCAGUGUAUGGAGAAGGUGCUGUGACUGAUUGAAUGUGUCAAAAGUGGUUUGUGAAGCUUCGUGCUGGAGAUCUCUCACUGGACGAUUGGGUAGACCAGUUAAAGUUGAUAGCGAUUAAAUUAAGACAGUAACUGAGAACAAGCAACAUUAUUCCAAGCAGGAGAUAGCCAACAUACUCAAAAUACCCAAAGCAAUAAAGUUGUUGGUAAAGAUGAAAUGUCUUUUAUUUUAUAGAAGUCAAAAUGGACUUUGGCCAACUCAAUAUUUGCUCCUGUUUUCAUUAUAUGUAAACCUAGCCUUCAGAUUCCUUUAUGUAUUGUUUCAAUGAUUUUUUUUUUUCAGUUUUGCUUAGCAUUGUGUUGUGUGUCAUUUACUGGAGAGCUGGCUUCUACUUUGGCAGAUGUUAUACUCGGUUAUUGUUCUUCAGGAUGUUGGCCCGACAGUUUGGGAGUUGUAAUAGGCCUAGGUUUUUCUGACCUUCAUUUCUGUAUCAUGACAACCAUGUGCUGAGAGUUAGGACGUGGAACCCCCUACCAUGGAAUGCAGUUCAUGCCCUCGGGGACCUCAUAGUUGAAUGGCAAGAAAGAGCCCAACAAUUACAAUUUGGAGGGAUUUGUGCCAUAAAAUAUACAAACACAGGGCACCUAGAAGCUCAGAGGAGAUGCAUAUGUGAGCCAAGACUUCCCAAAGGUAUAUGUUUGAGCUGAAUUUUAAGAGUUUCUGUGAAAGUUUGCUCUAACAAACUUGCUCUAACAAAAGUCUCUUUCUAGUCCCAACUUAUUGUCACAGCUUUUAGACAUGACGUCUCUGCAGGCAGUUCCUUGACUGUUUCCAUGCUGUCGUGCCAGUGGGUGAGCUCCUCCUUCUGCCGGGAUUGCCUGUCCCCUUCGGUUCUCCUACAGAACUGUGCUUUGGUGAUCUCUGUUCCCUUGGUUAUAGUAAAUGUUCAAUAAACAUUGGUGUUUUAAUAAAGGGUGUGUGUUUUUUAAAUAGACAGUGAAGCUAAUUUCAUAAAGUAAGCACAAAGUUAGUCUCAUUAGAACACGUUACCAACACCCAUACUUCUAAGUUUUAACAUCUCUGAUUCCAAAUCCUCUUGGCAGAACAACCUCCUCCCCUCACCUCCGGGGAGAAAUUUCCUUCCAUAAUCUAAUGUGCACUUGUAUUUAUAGAAUAUAAAAUGCACCCACCACGUUUUGCACAAAUGGGAAAAGCACAGCUUAGCUUUGGAGCGUGUUAGUUACAAAUGAUAACUCCGGGCAGAAGUGGACUCCGACAGCUCGAAUUAGAGAUUAAAUAUGGAGGCCCUCAUUCUUUGCACAUGUGGGCAAGUGUUUUCUUUAGCUAAAUUAUCUGUGGUAUUUGAUUAUUUCAUAAUGGAAAGUGGAAGUUAAACAUUUUGUAAAUCAUAUUUUCCUGUAGGAAAUCUGAUCAACACUUCUCUAUAAAGUUUUCCCACAAAAUUCUAGUUCUAUAGGUUUUUAAACAGAUAUUCAGGAAAAUAAAAAGUUGGGACUAGGUACAGAUCCCAGAGUCAAACAAACGCUGAGUUGAAAUCAGAGGUUUUUGCUUUUAUUUUCAUGUAUUGAUUUUUUUUUUUUCAAAUAAGGUACUCCUUAGUAUAGUCACACUGACUGUGGCUGUAACAAGGCCUUAUGGCACUCCCAGACUAGGUGGCUCUUCUGGUGUUUCUUCCCCUCGAGAGUCCAGGGUCUGCAGAAACAUCAGGGGAAUUGCUGCUUAGAUGGCAGGCACUUUUUUGCAGGGUCCCCAGCAAGGAACCACAGAAUUCUCACUGGGUUUGGAGUUUCGUGUCUCAGAGCAGUUAGUUAGCACUGACAGACCAUGGGUGGCAGGGACCCAGGGGACAGGGCCGUAAGCCUGCCCCUUCACUCUCGCUAUCAGCACUGCUUUCUCUGGUCUCCUUGAAACUGCUGGGGACAGUGGACUCACUCUGCUGAUCUUGUACCCCAUACUUAAACAACUUGAGUACACAUUUUUAAUAAGGAAAUAUCUAUAAAUACACAAAUGUAUUAUUGCACUAUGACAUUUGAAAAUAUACGAGAACUUUAAGGGAUGACAUAAAAGUGAAUGGCAGUUACAUUUUUCCCACAUGCCUGUGGGUCAUUUUGCACACCCCUGGAUAGUUAGACAACUCUGUAAAUCUGGGGUUUGAGAGUCAGGAUUUACGUAUCCAAGUCAACGUGCACCUUCCCCCGCAUUCCUGGGUGCAGCCUGGCUCCCAGUGCUGCUGAAGAAUGCAGUCUGCCUCCAGGUGUUUACUUCUAAAGGAAUUCGAAGGAAUAGUAAGUGAAAAAGCAAGUAGCAAUAAGUAUGUAUAGUCUGAUUUCUUGUGUGAGUUUUUUUUUAAGUUUGUAAAAAUACAUUUAUAGAAAAUGUCUAGACUGAUAUGUUGCAAAUUUAUUAAUGAGCAUUGGAAUUAAGGGACUUGAGGGAGAAAGUUUACUUUUUACUUUUUAUCUUUCUAUACUGCUUGAAUUUUUUAUGAACUCAGGCUCUUUUCAUAACACUUUUUAAAACCACUGGAUACAUUGUGAUAUCAAAUGUGUUAUAUAGUGCAUUGUCAAUGUUGCUUGUUGGAGCUGGAUGAUGAGAACAUUGGACUUCAUUACACUAUUUCUACUUUUAUG